rnacentral:ncRNA from 1 species
AUACAUUUCGGGAAUGAGGUUCUCCCUUAGCAUCAUGCUAAAACCGCUUAUUAAGUUGAUGACUUCUGUAAUUUU